CCUUCGCGACGCCGACGCCCGCAUGAAGCCCGACGGGCCGUGAGGCCGCGGGCUCAAGACGGGCACGGCGGUCGUUCGCGUCGAGGGACAAAAUGCGUUGCUCGGGCGAACGGAGUCUCGUAACGAGACCCCACGCCCGCGCACAACGUUCCGCAUCCGAGAGAACGGGCAUAGCACACCGUGGGCCGAGGCAGCCAAGCGACUGGGCGAGGCUUGCCGGGGACACGGGGCGUGCCUGACGUCCACCCCGCAACCCGCGAGGGCUGGGGGCGGAGAGGGAC
rnacentral:misc_RNA from 1 species